GAAAAAGAGACCGAAUAGGAUCCGGAAAAGAACUAAAAAUCAAAUGAAUGUGGUGAAAGAAGAAUGAAAAGAAGCAGAAAGUCACUUAGGACAAUGACCAAAGAAGUAUUGUGUUAUUUAAACGGCCAUUUCAUGAAAAAUCAUUGAAAACCACCAACCUGAUCCCCCAGAAUCAGUUUAUGUUUUUUAUUUUUAUUUUUUUUCAUGCAACACCUUUAUUAUUUUCAUUGAAGGCAUCUAGAAUUUACAUUUGUAACCUUUGCGAUGUUGUGCUUUCCUUUCCAGCAUUUUUAAUCCCGUAUAAGUUAUUUAUUGAUAGGAGAUAUUAUAUCCUAGCUGGUAUUUCAACAAAAAAUUAUAUGUGUAGUAUUUAAUUCUUAACAUUGUCCCCUUUUUAACCUGCCCGGCACCAUUUUAUUCCCUUCUAUUGAGAAACCGGAGAAAUUCUUGAAUUUACUGAAAUUUCCAGACUUUGUAAAGCUGCCCAGAGGGUUGGGUUGGACCCUUUGAUGGGAUGGUUGUAGCCCCACAACUCUCCCUUCUUCAAGAGAAAAAGGCAAUGAGCUGCUGUGAACGGAGACACUGGUUCUCACAGGCUGACACUUUGAGGUUAAAGAAAAAACCUGAAUCUACUCAAGUUUUAAUACCAUCAUCCGUUGGACAUUUCUAAUAAUCUGUGUGGGCUAGAUAAGCAGAAAUGUGUGCUGUGACAUCUGCGUCUCUCUGCUGGACUUUGCUCUCUGUCUGCAUCCUGUUCGUCUCUGCAGACCCGAUAAGCAUCACAGCUGAAUCUGGUCAAACUCUCACUCUACUGUGUCGAGCUCAAAGCAGAUCUGACAUAACAGACGGAAAUGUCUUGAAGUACCACGGUCAGCAACUUCUUCUAUCAUACCAGAAUCCAUCUUUUAAGAACCAGGUGGAUCUCCAGGACAGACAGAUGAAGGAUGGAGACGUGUCAUUGAUUCUGAAGGACAUGACGAUUAAUGACGCUGGAGCGUACGAGUGCCGUGUCAUGCAGAGAGGAAUAAACCAAGAGAAGCUCAUCAGCAGCAUCACACUGAGUGUUGUUGAUCCUCCAGCUCAGCAAGAUUUACCUGUUGGAGUGGUAAUCGGUGCGUCAGCAGGAGCUGUAGCUCUCCUUGCUUUGAAUGGGGGUGGUAUUUGGAUGCUUUCGUGAGCUAAAGAAAACACAAAGAGCAGUUUUAUCAGAAUUCAAACCAUCUUGCUGUUGAUCUGAAAAUUAAAACAAAUCAUUCAAUAACUGAACUGUGAGCUUUCUGUGCUUCUUGUCUGAGCAGUUAUACGUAGCCAUGGAUAUACAAUCA
ensembl:lncRNA